UGACCGUCGGAUAGAAGAAGCAGUUGAAUCACGUCCAUCAAGCUUACGCGGUGAAGUUUCGUUGACGACGACAUACAGAGAGACUUGUAGCAAGUACACAGAGACAGUGUUUCCUUUUUUCUGACGGAUCUUCAGCUCCUCUCAUGACCCCUCUGACUUGAUCUGUGACUUCGUUUUCUACAUACACCCAGUUAGCUUGUUUCAAUGGCAUCGAGCACCCAACGAGCCACUUCAUCUCUUCCUUCAGCUCUUGAAUGGAAAUAUGAUGUCUUUUUGAGUUUUAGGGGUGCAGACACGCGCUUAGGUUUUACCGCCCAUCUACAUGAUAAAUUGAAAGAACAAGGAAUUACAAGAACUUUCUUGGAUGAUGACGAACUUCAAAUAGGAAGCCCAAUUUCUGAUCUCUUCCCGGAAAUUGCAAGGUCGAGGCUUGCCAUCGUUGUCAUCUCUCCAGAUUACGCUUCUUCAAAAUGGUGCCUGAACGAACUCGUAAAGAUUCUUGAAUGCAUGGAAGAGAGACGGGCAGCUAUACCAGUUUUCUACUCAGUGGAACCCUCCGAUGUUGGAGAUCGGUCUGGGAUUUUUGGGAAUGGCUUCACUAAACUCGAACAAGAGUAUAAGGAUGACAAAGAGAUGGUGGAUGGAUGGAAAGCUGCCUUAAAAAUAGUGGCAAAAAUCAAAGGGCCUAUUUCAAAUAACAAGAAAGAACCAGAGCUCAUCAAGGAAAUCGUUGAAAAGGUACGAACUGAAGUAGGUCCUAUAUCAUUGGAGCCUGCAGAAAACCUGGUUGAAAUGGAGUCGAAACUGGAGCAACUUGAUGUGCUUUUAGAACAAGAGUCAAAUGAUGUUCUCUCUAUAGGAAUAUGGGGGAUGAGUGGGAUAGGUAAGACAACCAUUGCCAAAGCAUUUUAUCAGAGGAUUCUUCAUAAAUUUCAAGUCAAAAGCUUUCAUGACAGAGUUAGCGAGGAUUUUAAGGCACACGGUCUGGACGGUAUACAGAGGAAGCUCUCCAAUAGCCUUAUGAAUAGAAAUAUACAAGACUGGAGUCCCAGUGAAGCCGCCAAAAUGAGAUACUUCGUACGUGACAAAAAGGUUCUCAUCAUUCUUGAUGACGUGGACGAUAGUAUUCAGUUAGAAAAGCUAUGUGGAAACCCAGCUUGGUUUGGUCAAGGGAGUAGAGUCAUUAUUACGACUAAGGAUAAACAGGUUCUAAUUUCACAUGGUGUAGAAAGAAGAUUUGAGGUGCCGUUGUUGAGUGAUGUUGGCGCUCUUAAACUGUUUAGCUUGAGAGCCCUUAAAAGGGACAAUCCGCCUAAAAGUCAUAUGGAUCUGUCUAUAAGUUUUGUGAGUUAUGCCAAAGGCCUUCCAUUAGCUCUUGAAGUCUUGGGGUUAUUUUUGAAUGGAAGAGGUCUAGAUGCAUGGAGAGGUCAAUUAAGUAAACUAGGGGAUGAUUUAAUAUUUAAUGAAAAAAUUAUGAAGACACUUAUAAUAAGUUACGAGGGUUUAGAUCCACAAGAGAAAGAUAUUUUCCUUGACAUCGCAUGUUUCUUUAAAGGAGAGUACAAAGAUCGAGUAGUUGAAAUACUAGAUGGUUGUGGUUUUAAUCCAGGUAUUGGCAUAGAUGUCCUUGUGAAGAAGUCUCUGAUAACAAUUUCAGAUAACAUGGUGUUGAUGCAUGAUUUGUUACAAAAAAUGGGUCAAGCAAUUGUUGGUCAACAAUCUAAAGAACCUGGUGAACGGAGCAGAUUAUGGCUUUCUAAGGACAUCUUUCGUGUUUUGAAGGAAAAUACGGGGACAUCGACGGUUGAAGGUAUUGUCCUAGACUUGCUUACCUCAGAAGAGGUCGAAUGCCCUCCUGAAGUUUUUUCUCAGAUGGUUAAUCUUAGAUUGCUCAAAGUCCAUAACGUGCGCCUUCCUGAAGGCCUAAACCGUCUCCCUAAUUCCUUGAGAUUUCUUGAAUGGAGAGGUUAUCCUCUACAAUAUCUCCCAUUAGGAUUCCACCCGGCAGAGCUUGUUGAACUUAUUAUGUGUCAUAGUAGAAUUAAACAGCUCUGGAAUGGAGAAAAGAAAUUUGACAAGUUGAAAAUCAUUAAAGUUAGUCAUUCCAAAAGUUUGACUGGAACCCCUGAUUUUGAAGGGAUUCAGAAUCUUGAGAGAUUAGAUCUUGAAGGAUGCGAAAGUCUAGUUGAGAUUCACUUUUCCAUAAGAACUCUCAAAAAGCUCACUUUCUUGACUCUUAAAGACUGCAAAAGUCUCGAGCUUCUUCCGGAUGAGAUUGAAAUGGAGCACCUUGAAGUUCUAGUUCUUUCUGGCUGCUCAAGCGUUAAAAAGAUACCGAAUUUUGUGGAACCUAUGGAGCAUUUAUGGAAGCUUUCUUUAGAUGGGACCGGUAUUGAAUGUAUACCUUCAUCAAUUGAACAUCUAACCAGCCUUUCUUUGUUGGACUUGAGAGAUUGCAAAAAUCUGAAAUGUCUUCCUCGUACCAUUGGAAAUUUGACGGCUAUUAAAAGUCUUGAUGUUUCUGGAUGCUCAAAUCUUGCCAAAUUGCCAGAAACCCUCGGGAAAUUAGAGUUUGUGGAGAAGAUUAAUUUAAGUGGAACUGCUAUAAAAGAAUUCCCAUCUUCCAUUGCCCUUCUGAAAAACCUUAAAGCAUUGAUUUUUCGUGGAAUGGAAGGGCCAUCACAACAACCAUGGCAUAUGUUGCUCCCUUUUAGAUUAAUGCCAACAGGGAGCCUUCAUCAUUCCAUCAGUUUGUUCUUGCCUCCUCUAUCAGGCCUUUGUUCUUUAAUGGAAUUAGACUUAAGUGGUCACAGUCUUGGUAAAGGAGACAUCCCCAGUGAUAUUGGCUGCUUAUCGUCUUUGGUAUCAUUGAACUUAAGUGGAAACGAUUUUGUUAAUCUUCCUACAAGCAUUAGCCAACUCACUAAGCUAGAGAAUUUAUACUUGAGUCGUUGCUGGAGGCUUCAACACCUUCCAGUUCUUUCGUCAGAUGUGGAUUUACAAGUAACUGCAGAUGGUUGUACUAAACUGAAAAUGCUGGAAUGUCCAUCAAAUUUGGACAGAUUGAAUUCAUCAUGCUUCAAUUUCAUCAAUUGCUUUGGAAUGCUUGAGAAAGAAAGCUACAAUCAUAUAACAUUUACAAUGCUCCAAAGAUAUCUUAAGGGAGUCCCUUAUGCAGGAGAUAGAUAUGAAAUUGUCAUGCCUGGAAAGGAAAUUCCUGGGUGGUUCACUCAUCAAAGGAUGGGACCAGAAGUAACCGUCGACCUAACUCCGCAAUGGCGUGAUAACAAGUGGAUGGGAUAUGCUCUGUGCGCUGUAUUUAAAGUUUGUGGGAGCGGAUGGGAGCUCUCUGGUGUUUUGGAAGUCAAUGGAAAGGAAGAGUACCCUGCGCCUCUACUAUCUUCGGAUGUCCAGCCCGUGUCAGAUCAUAUCUGGCUACUCUAUGUGUCUCGUGGUAUAAGCUUUGGUACAGAGUGGCAAAACAGUUGCAAUCAGUUAAAAUUUAAUUUCAAAAGCUCAGGCCCCUGCUUGGUGAAGAGUUGCGGCACUCGUUUGGUGUACGAGAGUGAUGUGGAAGAGUUGGACGUUGUGUACGAGAGCGCUGUGGAAGAGUUGGAUGAAAUAGCGACCCAAUCCAGUAGCGAUGGUGACGGAGAAGGACCUAGUGGAAGUGGUAGAUUGAAGGGUACAUUGGCCGGCUUCGCCAAUAUGUUUGGAAUCCCUCAUUUCAAGUAGCAAAGCAAUGAAGAUGGAGUGAGGUCGACUAAGCCUAACCACGCAGCAUCAAUUCAAGUCAAACUAAUGGAGAUUUGCUGCUGCGCAUCGGACGAUUGUAUAGCCGUUGACAUUUCAUUAUCCAUUCCUAUGCUAGAAGACUCUCAGAUCUGGAUUUGAUCGGUCUGAGUUUCCAUAAGAAGAAGAGAGAGAAGAGAGCAGAGAUUUCCGUUGGGAUCCAUGGCCACCACGCAUACAAAUGAGUACGAUGUCUACCUCAGUUUCAGUGGCCAAGACACCCGCAUGAGUUUCGCGAGCCAUCUAUAUGCGGCUCUGAGUAGAAACGGAGUCGUCGUAUGUAGACACAAAGAUGUACGUUAUGGGGCAGAACCCAGUAACUCACUAAUCCGCAAGGCAAUCGAAAGGUCAAGAAUUGCUUUGUAUAUCUUGGUUAUGUCCAUCUUCUAAUUGCAGGAAUCAUGUUUUCUCGUCAACUUAUUGUCUCCACUAGAUUGGUGUGAAGAUAAAUCCAAUACUGCAUGAAAUAAGAACUUUGAAUUAGUUUCUUGUGAAAUUUAUAAGAUAGAAUUCAUGCUUUUAAAA